rnacentral:rRNA from 1 species
GAUAAGUGCUGAAAGCAUCUAAGCACGAAACUUGCCCCGAGAUGAGUUCUCCCUGAGACUAUAAGUCUCCUGAAGGAACGUUGAAGACGACGACGUUGAUAGGCCGGGUGUGUAAGCGCAGCGAUGCGUUGAGCUAACCGGUACUAAUGAACCGUGAGGCUUAACCUUACAACGCCGAAG